AUGGCGGGCCUCCGUGCAUGGCGGGCGGGCUGGGGCGUGGCUUCUCCGGCUGGCGUCUGCGGAUCCGUGGUGGUGGCGGUGUGCCACGGAUCGACGGGGGCGGCGCGGCGGGCGCUCGAGGUGGUGCAGAGAUGUCCUGGUGAUGGCGGUGUUGGCCCAUGGAUGGUAGGCGGGUGCUGCCUGGUGGCGGAGCGGCUCCGGAAAGUGGAUCCUCAGUGUGGAAGCCGGGGCGGCGGCCCCGGAAAACCAUGCGGCAAGGUGGCGCGGUGGUUCGAGAUCUUGGCGGCGUGUGGUUGCUGCCGGCUGAUCUGUGGCUUGACGACGGCGACAUGCUACUUCCCUCUCCACGGUAAUGGCCCAAGGUGA
rnacentral:rRNA from 1 species